GGGGGCAUAGCUCAGUUGGUAGAGCAUCUGUUUUGCACGCAGAAGGUCAGCGGUUCGACCCCGCUUGUCUCCACCA
rnacentral:tRNA from 1 species